rnacentral:rRNA from 1 species
UAAUACGUAGGGGGCGAGCGUUGUCCGGAAUUAUUGGGCGUAAAGAGCUCGUAGGCGGCUUAGUAAGUCGGCGGUGAAAUACCGAGGCUCAACCUCGGCACUGCCGUCGAUACUGCUAUGGCUAGAGUUUGGUAGAGGAGAACGGAAUUCCCGGUGUAGCGGUGGAAUGCGCAGAUAUCGGGAGGAACACCCGUAGCGAAGGCGGUUCUCUGGGCCAAUACUGACGCUGAGGAGCGAAAGCGUGGGGAGCAAACAGGAUUAGAUACCCUGGUAGUCCACGCUGUAAACGUUGGGCACUAGGUGUGGCGACCCGAUCAACGGUUGCCGUGCCGAAGCUAACGCAUUAAGUGCCCCGCCUGGGGAGUACGGCCGCAAGGCUA